ACGUAGGGGGCAAGCGUUGCUCGGAAUAACUGGGUUUAAAGGGCUCGCAGGCGGGCAUAUAAGUCGUGGGGUAAAUCUCAGAGAUAAACUCGGAUACGCCUGCGAUACUGUAUGCCUCGAGAGAGAUAUAGGAAACGGGAAUUCCCGGUGUAACGGUGGAAUGUUUAGAGAUCGGGAGGAACACCAAAAACUAAGGCAAGGUUCUGGCUCUCUUCUGAGGCUCAUCAGCUAAAGCUUGUUUAGCAAACAG
rnacentral:rRNA from 1 species